rnacentral:rRNA from 1 species
GACGAACGCUGGCGGCGUGCUUAACACAUGCAAGUCGAACGCUAAAGCUUUGUGCUUGCGCUGUGAGGAUGAGCGGCGGACGGGUGAGUAAUACGUGAGUCACCUGCUCUUUAUUCUGGGAUAAUCAUGGGAAACAGGGUCUAAUACUGGAUACGACAUCCUACCGCUUGGUGCAGUGGGGAUUGGGAUUUAGUGGUUUUGGAUGGGCUCACGGCCGAUCAGCUUGUUGGUGGGGUAAUGGCUCACCAAGGCGACGACGGGUAGCCGGCCUGAGAGGGUGACCGGCCACACUGGGCCUGAGAGACGGACCAGACUCCUACGGGAGGCAGCAGGGGGGAGUAUUGCACAGUGGGCGCGAGCCUGAUGCGGCGACGCCGCGUGAGGGAUGACGGCCUUCGGGUUGUAAACCUCUUUCAGCAAGGAAGAAGCGAAAGUGACGGUACGUGAAGAAGAAGCACCGGCUAACUACGUG